UAGCAAAUUCAUUAGGGGAUUUAACUAGGUUCGUAAAAGGCAUGCAAAACAAAUAAUCAAAAAGAAAGGGGAAGAGAGGAGAAGUAAUGAUUUAGGAUUUGAAGCCCAAACUAUUAAGCCUGUCCUAAUCUAGUUGGGUUUUCAACCUAUUUUUCCUCUCACCUGUCCUAUUUCUAUGUUUUCUGGCCCUUUGGCUCGAGUUUUCACUUUACCUGUAUUAAAUACAACUUUGGCUUCGAGGCCCAAAUGAAUGAAAAAUGAAUAAACAAAAUAAAAUAAAUAAUAAAUAAUAAAAAAACAACAACACUAAUUAAACAAAAUGAAAUAAUAAAUGAGACUUUUGUCACUUAGCCGCUUCAAAUACGGGACUUUAACCCGUUCCUUUUCUUUCGACUCUUUGUAUUUGCGCGCUAUUUAUCCGGCUUUGGGCUCUUUUUCUGGAUUGACCCAACAAGAUGGGCCUCACUGGCCCAUGAUGAAUGUGCAAGAGGGAGAGAGUUCAUGUAGGACUCAGUCGAAAGUAGGAGAGAUUAAUGUGCAGGCCCGAAGCGCAGUACACCAUACAGAUAUCCAACACAACAAAUCAAUAACAAAAGACAUGGAAUUAUUGUAAUUUUAAACAACAUAGCAAAUAGUAUGCAAAAGUAUAGAAAGUAAAAGAAACGCAAUUAUGGCUAGCACCAAUAUAUAAAUGAAACAUUUAAGACUACAUUUGUAAGAAUACUCAUAAACAGGAAUAAGCAAAUAAGGAGACGUACAAUAGAAUUGGGAAUUUAAAAUAAAUCUCUUAAGCGACCUAUUCAUAACACUAGUUGGGGAAAGAGCCAUUCUUUUCAGAGAGAUAAACCAGAGCCCCUCCCUGUACAAUUUCUUCAAAAAGGAUACAACUCCUAAACAUACCAUACCAAAAAUCGGAUAGCUUGGAACAGCGAACAACGAAAUACAAUAAUGACUUACUUAAGAAAGAGUGAAUGAAACUUGACAUAAGAGUUGUUCAAACAAGCCAAGACUCAAUAAGUUUGGAAGUUGAAGAAUAAGCAUAUUUGCACUACAGUGAGCAAGUAAGUAGCAGACCCCUGAGCAGCUAAGAAGGUCUUAAUAAUUAUCAAUCGAAUCGAAACAUGAAACUUUAAUCGCAGAAGACAGAUAAAAAAAAUUUUUGAACAGCCUGAAACUUCAAAAAAAACAUGAAACUUUAAACACGAAACCAACUUCAGUAGGAUACUAGCGAUCCGAAACAGAUCGAAGAACCUAAGACCUUAGCUAACAAACCCGCGUUAACAAGAUACUAGUUAUUCCAAACAACAAUCAGAAGCACGAACUUCACAAAAAUGUAUGGUCCUUAAGACCUCAACAACAAACAAAGCCAGCAACCAUGAUUAUACACAACAUAGCUAUACGGCUAAAAUGCUACAGCAGCAUCGCUUAGAAGAAUAAAGAAAAAGAAGAACGCAUUUUGAAACCAAAAGAGAUGAAGGGUUACCUGCUUCGGGGCAGCAAAACAGGACUCCCAAGCUAAUAUUAGACUCCAACACCACCGAAAAUCGGACCCUCUAGAAUGAUGAGUAAUUGACAACUCGAAAUAAACUUAUUGGAAAAUCAAAGUUUUACUGCGUUUUCUUCUUCCCCUCCCAGACCCUAAAGAAACAUGUUUCCAACCUAGAUUUAAACAGUAACCCCUUUCCCAAAGAAAGAUCUCCCCAAGCUUCUAACUCCAGAAACUUUUAUUCAAAUUUUCGAACCGUCGCCUCUUCGAGAAAAGAACCCCCAGAAAACCUCUCCAAAUCCCUUACUUUGAAUCAAAAUCGACCCAAACCCUAAAUUUCUCCACUCUUAGAACCUUAGAGCUCCCAGAAAAAUCCUCCUCUUCAGACCCUAAAGAGAGCUAUUUAUAGAAGGGGGGGUUGAGGGUUCGUUUUGAAUCCUCACAAAUCGCACCCCUAUUGUUCUUCUUGAACGGAUUUUCAACAGAUGGCCAACAACCAUUGGGGCAAAAUGAACGAAUGAAAAUUUGCCGAACAGGUAUGAAUCCGAAAAUCACGGAAUUCGGACGUUGGGGGUAACACCUCACUCUCUUUCUAGAAGAUUUCGUACCAAAAUCAUGUGGGAAAGCACGCGACUGUGAAGAGGAAGCAGAAAACGGGUUGAGAUAAGGGGAAUCGGGGGGGAAAUAGGUUGGGGUUUUGCAUGGUUGUUUUCGCAUUGCUGUUGGUGUAGCUUGUACGCGGUUUUUGUCGUGGCUGUUGUUUGUUUUUGGUGAGCUAUAAGCAGCUUUUGCUUAUUGAAGAAGAAAGGAUUAAAUGGUGUGGGCCGGGUAGGUUUUGUAGAUGUUUGUGCUGUUGAAAUUCGGGGCUAAUUUGGCAAAGUCAAAAGGAAAUUGGGCUUGGGCUUGUUAAUUUGAAGAGUGGCUUGGCAAUUUAAAAACUGAAAUUGAGGUUAUUAUAACACACCAAUUUGGCCUGAAAAUGCCCCGUUUAUGCCGUUUUACCCAUUUGACUACCCAAAAUAUCCUUGAAUAAAUAAAAAAAACCACACUGCGACGAUCCCCAACCUCUCUGGCAUACCCCGGUUGAUUUUUGGCCCACGUCACCCCCAAACCCUAGGCUACCCCCGAAGUCGUAGGCUUUAGCUUGAAUACACCCGUUUGCAUCGUUUGACCACCCAAAUGGCCUCGAAUAAAUAAACGAACCCUGGCAUCCUCAGUCAAUUCUUCACCCACGACACCUAUUUUGCGGAGAAAUUUUGACUUUUUGAGAAGAGUUACCACUUAAUUUUAAAAAAAAAUUAAGAAACCUGUAAAGAGUUACUUCAAACGAUCUAAAACCAAAAAAUCAUUUAAGUUAAGAGAUUCUGAAUAAGCGGUUCUUAUUAACGUUUUAGGAAGGUGUUAGGCACCUAAAAUGUCUUCGAUUAACUUCUGAAAUUUGAUUCAUUGAAAAAUGGUUGGUUUGCAAAAAAUUAAGUUUUAGCAAAUUCAUUAGGGGAUUUAACUAGGUUCGUAAAAGGCAUGCAAAACAAAUAAUCAAAAAGAAAGGGGAAGAGAGGAGAAGUAAUGAUUUAGGAUUUGAAGCCCAAACUAUUAAGCCUGUCCUAAUCUAGUUGGGUUUUCAACCUAUUUUUCCUCUCACCUGUCCUAUUUCUAUGUUUUCUGGCCCUUUGGCUCGAGUUUUCACUUUACCUGUAUUAAAUACAACUUUGGCUUCGAGGCCCAAAUGAAUGAAAAAUGAAUAAACAAAAUAAAAUAAAUAAUAAAUAAUAAAAAAACAACAACACUAAUUAAACAAAAUGAAAUAAUAAAUGAGACUUUUGUCACUUAGCCGCUUCAAAUACGGGACUUUAACCCGUUCCUUUUCUUUCGACUCUUUGUAUUUGCGCGCUAUUUAUCCGGCUUUGGGCUCUUUUUCUGGAUUGACCCAACAAGAUGGGCCUCACUGGCCCAUGAUGAAUGUGCAAGAGGGAGAGAGUUCAUGUAGGACUCAGUCGAAAGUAGGAGAGAUUAAUGUGCAGGCCCGAAGCGCAGUACACCAUACAGAUAUCCAACACAACAAAUCAAUAACAAAAGACAUGGAAUUAUUGUAAUUUUAAACAACAUAGCAAAUAGUAUGCAAAAGUAUAGAAAGUAAAAGAAACGCAAUUAUGGCUAGCACCAAUAUAUAAAUGAAACAUUUAAGACUACAUUUGUAAGAAUACUCAUAAACAGGAAUAAGCAAAUAAGGAGACGUACAAUAGAAUUGGGAAUUUAAAAUAAAUCUCUUAAGCGACCUAUUCAUAACACUAGUUGGGGAAAGAGCCAUUCUUUUCAGAGAGAUAAACCAGAGCCCCUCCCUGUACAAUUUCUUCAAAAAGGAUACAACUCCUAAACAUACCAUACCAAAAAUCGGAUAGCUUGGAACAGCGAACAACGAAAUACAAUAAUGACUUACUUAAGAAAGAGUGAAUGAAACUUGACAUAAGAGUUGUUCAAACAAGCCAAGACUCAAUAAGUUUGGAAGUUGAAGAAUAAGCAUAUUUGCACUACAGUGAGCAAGUAAGUAGCAGACCCCUGAGCAGCUAAGAAGGUCUUAAUAAUUAUCAAUCGAAUCGAAACAUGAAACUUUAAUCACAAAAGUCAGGUAAAAAAAAAUAAUUCCAACAGCCUGAAACUUUAAACACGAAACCAACUUCAGUAGGAUACUAGCGAUCCGAAACAGAUCGAAGAACCUAAGACCUUAGCUAACAAACCCGCGUUAACAAGAUACCAGUUAUUCCAAACAACAAUCAGAAGCACGAACUUCACAAAAAUGUAUGGUCUUUAAGACCUCAACAACCAACAACGCCAGCAACCACGAUUAUACACAACAUAGCUAUACGGCUAAAAUGCUACAGCAGCAUCGCUUAGAAGAAUAAAGAAAAAGAAGAACGCAUUUUGAAACCAAAAGAGAUGAAGGGUUACCUGCUUCGGGGCAGCAAAACAGGACUCCCAAGCUAAUAUUAGACUCCAACACCACCGAAAAUCGGACCCUCUAGAAUGAUGAGUAAUUGACAACUCGAAAUAAACUUAUUGGAAAAUCAAAGUUUUACUGCGUUUUCUUCUUCCCCUCCCAGACCCUAAAGAAACAUGUUUCCAACCUAGAUUUAAACAGUAACCCCUUUCCCAAAGAAAGAUCUCCCCAAGCUUCUAACUCCAGAAACUUUUAUUCAAAUUUUCGAACCGUCGCCUCUUCGAGAAAAGAACCCCCAGAAAACCUCUCCAAAUCCCUUACUUUGAAUCAAAAUCGACCCAAACCCUAAAUUUCUCCACUCUUAGAACCUUAGAGCUCCCAGAAAAAUCCUCCUCUUCAGACCCUAAAGAGAGCUAUUUAUAGAAGGGGGGGUUGAGGGUUCGUUUUGAAUCCUCACAAAUCGCACCCCUAUUGUUCUUCUUGAACGGAUUUUCAACAGAUGGCCAACAACCAUUGGGGCAAAAUGAACGAAUGAAAAUUUGCCGAACAGGUAUGAAUCCGAAAAUCACGGAAUUCGGACGUUGGGGGUAACACCUCACUCUCUUUCUAGAAGAUUUCGUACCAAAAUCAUGUGGGAAAGCACGCGACUGUGAAGAGGAAGCAGAAAACGGGUUGAGAUAAGGGGAAUCGGGGGGGAAAUAGGUUGGGGUUUUGCAUGGUUGUUUUCGCAUUGCUGUUGGUGUAGCUUGUACGCGGUUUUUGUCGUGGCUGUUGUUUGUUUUUGGUGAGCUAUAAGCAGCUUUUGCUUAUUGAAGAAGAAAGGAUUAAAUGGUGUGGGCCGGGUAGGUUUUGUAGAUGUUUGUGCUGUUGAAAUUCGGG
rnacentral:lncRNA from 1 species